AACGAACGCUGGCGGCAUGCCUAACACAUGCAAGUCGAACGAAACCUUCGGGUCUAGUGGCGCACGGGUGAGUAACGCGUGGGAAUCUUCCCUUCGGUUCGGAAUAACUCCCCGAAAGGGGUGCUAAUACCGGAUAAUGUCUUCUGACCAAAGAUUUAUCGCCCUAGGAUGGGCCCGCGUUGGAUUAGCUAGUUGGUAGGGUAAUAGCUUACCAAGGCGCCGAUCCGUAGCUGGUCUGAGAGGAUGAGCAGCCACACUGGGACUGAGACACGGCCCAGACUCCUACGGGAGGCAGCAGUGGGGAAUAUUGGACAAUGGGCGAAAGCCUGAUCCAGCAAUGCCGCGUGAGUGAUGAAGGCCUUAGGGUUGUAAAGCUCUUUUACCCAGGAUGAUAAUGACAGUACCGGGAGAAUAAGCCCCGGCUAACUCCGUG
rnacentral:rRNA from 1 species